AGUUGCCUGGAUACCUCAUUCUUCCUGGACACAGGAAGGGAACUGGGGACCCACCAAAUAGUAGGACUGAAAGAGCUGUAACACGUGGGUGGAGCCAAGAUGGCCAAAUAGGAAAAGCUCCUGUCUACAGCUCCCAGCGUGAGCAACAGAGAAGAUGGGUGAUUUCUGCAUUUCCAUCUGAGGCUUAAAAAACGGCACACCAGGAUAUUACAUCCUGCACCUGGCUCAGAGGGUCGUACGCCCACAGCAUCUCGCUGAUUGCUAGCACAGCAGUCUGAGAUCAAACUGCAAGAUGGCAGCGAGGCUGGGGGAGGGGUGCCUGCCAUUGCCCAGGCUUGAUUAGGUAAACAAAGCAGCCAGGAAGCUCCAACUGGGUGGAGCCCACCACAGCUCAAGGAGGCCUGUCUGCCUCUGUAGGCUCCACCACUGGGGGCAGGGCACAGACAAACAAAAAGACAGCAGUAACCUCUGCAGACUUAAAUGUCCCUGUCUGACAGCUUUGAAGAGAGCAGUGGUUCUCCCAACACGCAGCUGGAGAUCUAAGAAUGGGCAGACUGCCUCCUCAAGUGGGUCCCUGACCCCCGAGCAACCUAACUGGGAGGCACCCCCCAGUAGGGGCAGACUGACACUGCACAUGGCUGGGUAAUCCUCUGAGACAAAACUUCCAGAGGAACGAUCAGACAGCAGCAUUUGCGGAUCACCAAUAUCCGCUGUUCUACAGCCACCACUGUUCUGCAGCCACCGCUGCUGAUACCCAGGAAAACAGGGUCUGGAGUGGACCUCUAGCAAACUCCAAUGGACCUGCAGCUGAGGGUCCUGUCUGUUAGAAGGAAAACUAACAAACAGAAAGGACAUCCACACCAAAAACCCAUCUGUACAUCACCAUCAUCAAAGACCAAAAGUAGAUAAAACCACAAAGAUGGGGAAAAAACAGAGCAGAAAAACCAGAAACUCUAAAAAGCAGAGUGCCUCUCCUCCUCCAAAGGAACGCACCUCCUCACCAGCAACGGAACAAAGCUGUAUGGAGAAUGUCUUUGACGAGUUAAGAGAAGAAGGCUUCAGACAAUCCUCCAAGCUACAGGAGGAAAUUCAAACCAAUGGCAAAGAAGUUAAAAACUUUGAAAAAAAAA
ensembl:lncRNA novel transcript